rnacentral:rRNA from 1 species
UGAACGCUGGCGGUAGGCCUAACACAUGCAAGUCGAACGGCAGCACAGUAAGAGCUUGCUCUUACGGGUGGCGAGUGGCGGACGGGUGAGGAAUACAUCGGAAUCUACUUUUUCGUGGGGGAUAACGUAGGGAAACUUACGCUAAUACCGCAUACGACCUACGGGUGAAAGCAGGGGAUCUUCGGACCUUGCGCGAUUGAAUGAGCCGAUGUCGGAUUAGCUAGUUGGCGGGGUAAAGGCCCACCAAGGCGACGAUCCGUAGCUGGUCUGAGAGGAUGAUCAGCCACACUGGAACUGAGACACGGUCCAGACUCCUACGGGAGGCAGCAGUGGGGAAUAUUGGACAAUGGGCGCAAGCCUGAUCCAGCCAUACCGCGUGGGUGAAGAAGGCCUUCGGGUUGUAAAGCCCUUUUGUUGGGAAAGAAAAGCAGCAGGUUAAUACCCCGCCGUUCUGACGGUACCCAAAGAAUAAGCACCGGCUAACUUCGUG